UAAUAAUUAAUAACUUUUAUAGCGAUCGGAGCUGGUAAGCGUAGCGAGCGACUACUGCAGUCUACUAUUGUUAUACUUUUAUAUUACUAUAUUAGUAUAUUACAUUAUAAUAUGUGCUGAUCUAAAAAAAUCAAAUAUUGUUAAAGGUACGGUGCUUGGUGGUAAAGCAUAACGUUGUGCACAUGCGUAAAAACAGAAAAUCGCAAACUUCGGAAGGAUAAAGAAUGAUGAUUUCUGCACAUUUAUACCAUCGUUCUUAACUCGUUGAAAUAGGUACAUGUUCCAAAAACUAAAAAAAUCUGAAAAAUGGGUGAAAAUUAAAAGUGAUUCACCAAACAUGCUCAACAAAUUGUUCUUCUUCAAUAUACCAGUUAUUUACAAAUGGUUACACAGGGUGUAAUAUUUGGUAUUGGUGAAUCACAGUGUACAGCACUACAGCAUCAUAAAAUUGAGGCUGAAUUCAAAUUCAACACAUACGGUUACCUCAAGGCUCGAAACUCAAAACCUACUAUAUAGCAGAGCAACUUCUCCGGAUUUUUAAUUUGUGUUAUGGACAUCAUGGAAUUAGGAUAACAAAGGCACGUAAUGUGUGGAAGCGUAUUUAACCUUGUACUAAAUGUUCAAAUCUUAAAAUUAGAAUAGACAAUUUUAUGUAUUUCUAUUUAUAUAAUACUAAAAUAAAUAGUCGACUAAAAUAUAAUUAUUACUCUAACCCAACUAUAGUUGAUCUAACCAACUAGAUAAAACGUCUGAACUAUAAACAAAUUUUAGACUAGCUAAAUUACUAGUAUAAGAAUACAAAGCAAAGGCUAUGCUCAGAAAAUCUGAACUCAAUAAUUUGUUUUGUGUCUGUGAGCUUGAUACUUCUGGAAUACAGAUGCUUAUAGUAAAAUAUAAUAUACACGUGGACAUGGGUCAUGACGCAUAAUUGUGUUGCAUAUAUGUACAAUAUCAGGCACUCUUUAUUCCGUCACUUAAGUUGGAUUUAUACUUUUUUGAUUAUAAAUAAAAUGAAAUAAAAUUUCAAUUCAUAAUAAUUUAAUAUACGAUCAUCGAUGAUAGAAAGGUUGUAAUUUAGGUGUUCAAUUAUUAUGCUUCAUAAAAAUUAAAAAAAUGUAUUCUAAUUAUUUCAUUUACAGACAAAAAAAUAAAAAAUAUUU